UUUAAACGUAACUGUAGGUUUAUAAGUCCAACGUUUGACCACCUAUUUUAUUUAAAUUUUUUUAUGAUUAGUAUUUUUAUUGUUAUUAGAUGAUAAAAUAUGAAUGAUACUUUAUGUGUGACUUAUUUUAAAAAAAAUUAAAUAAGACGGAUGAUCAAACGUUGAACACAGAAACCAACAACUACACUUAAA
rfam:Oryza meridionalis cultivar OR44 (W2112) chromosome 10, whole genome shotgun sequence.